rnacentral:tRNA from 1 species
ACCUGAGUGGCUCAGUCUGUUGAGCGUCUGACUUCAGCUCAGGACAUGAUCUCACUGUUCGUGGGUUCUAGCCCCGCAUUGGGCU